AUUGAACGCUGGCGGCAUGCUUUACACAUGCAAGUCGAACGGUAACAGGUUAAGCUGACGAGUGGCGAACGGGUGAGUAAUGCAUCGGAACGUGCCCGAUCGUGGGGGAUAACGCAGCGAAAGCUGCGCUAAUACCGCAUACGAUCUGAGGAUGAAAGCGGGGGACCGUAAGGCCUCGCGCGAUCGGAGCGGCCGAUGUCACAUUAGGUAGUUGGUGGGGUAAAGGCCCACCAAGCCGACGAUCUGUAGCUGGUCUGAGAGGACGACCAGCCACACUGGGACUGAGACACGGCCCAGAGUCAUACGGGAGGCAGCAUUGGGGAAUUUUGGACAAUGUGCGAAAGCCUGAUCCAGCAAUGCCGCGUGCAGGAAGAAGGCCUUCGGGUUGUAAACUGCUUUUGUACGGAGCGAAAAGGUCCUUUCUAAUACAAGGGGCUCAUGACGGUACCGUAAGAAUAAGCACCGGCUAACUACGUGCCAGCAGCCGCGGUAA
rnacentral:rRNA from 1 species